GGAGUUUGGACCGUGUCUCAGUUCCAAUGUGGCUGAUCAUCCUCUCAAACCAGCUACUGAUCAUCGCCUUGGUGGUCCAUUACACCCCCAACUAGCUAAUCAGAUGCAGACUCAUCCCAGAGCACCGGAGUUUUCUAAGAAUAGUAUCUCAACUACGCUCAUACGGGGUAUUAGCUGUCGUUUCCA
rnacentral:rRNA from 1 species